UCAUUUUAUUAUAUAUCACCUUUGCUGAAUUUGUUGUUUAUUUAGGUUUCUCUAUUGGCACUUUCUUGCUGAAAACUGCACUUUGAGUUUUUGGUUGGAAAUCAUAACAAAUUCAAAAUUGGUUGAUGGUAAGCUAUCUCAAACCUCCAUAGAUUGUAUCUUAGUCUGUGGAGGUCUCCCAAUAUAAAUGGUAAAAGUACACAUGUAUUAAGAUCUUAUGAGCUUUAUUAUUCCAUAGUGCAUACUUCAUCAACAUCUUGAACAACAAUUAAUCCUAACAACGCAAGAAGCAAGCACUUUUCAUUUUUUAACCUUGUUUCUGCUUUUGAAUUGUUAUUAUAACAGACAUGCUCAGUUCGUAGGAUGUCACAAAUAUGAUUUUCCUUUUCCUGAUAUUUUGCAUUCAUUCU
rnacentral:lncRNA from 1 species